AGUCUAGUGUGAUCACUCGAGCGCCCUCAAGAAAGGAAAUGACUGACCCCCGGAAAUGUUUGUUUACUCGGCAAUUCUUUUACACUUUAUGUGUAAUUCAUCGGCCAAGAUCUCUUCAAACACAAGAGAGCCUUCUAUCUCAAACAGAUUUACCCUUCAAGACGUGUCCAAGACUUGCCUGAGCUAUUGGAGCUGCACUCCCCUUUAAGAAACGUUGAAAAUUGAAAGACAUGGUGGAACCAACAAGACGCCCUUCGUCAACCACAUGCCCCCUCCCUCAUUUUGAGCUUUGAAGAUGAGUAUAAAUCAAUGUUUUUUGUUUUACAGUAAUAAGUGGUUUAAGAAGAAAAAACACCAACAACAUGUUAUUUACUAGGGUUAUCAAAAAUCAUUGUCAGCUCAAAAUAUUCCACCCAAACGCUUCCCCUGAAAAGAUAUGAGAAAGAAGUUUGUAAAGUUUCUCACAGAGUGCUAUGGUUGGCCUUAAACCCCAAAAUGAAUAAAAAGUGUUGGUCUGAAAAUAAUCUAUGACUUCGCACACACUGGUUUCUAUGGAAAAAAUUUAUUGCAUUUAGGAGGGGGUCUUCACCUGUUUUUAAUUACCUGCAAUAAACUUUGCACUUUUUUUCUCACUGUUUCAGGGCCAGAGAUUUAAAUAACAAUUGCUUGUUAUCAAGUUGGGAUGGAAUCUCCUCUACUGACAUCUUGAAGGCUGCAGGGUAUAAAGGAGAGCAACACCCAACAUCAGUAUUGUCAAGACAUUCAGCAGUUUGGCUAAGGAUCCGGAAUGAACAACCAAGCCAGUUGCUGUUAUAAGACAUGAAAGGUGUAGUAAUUUUAUAUUAUGCUUCGACAAAGUUUCAGGCAAAAUUUGAUAAGUUUUUCAGACAAAAGUACACUUUUAUAAGCCAAACUGGAUUAGAACACAAUUGACAAAAGUGUACAGGCUAUAAUAAUAAUAAGCCUUGUGAACUUUUCAAAUUUUGGUGAAAAAGUCAAGUUUUUCAAGUUUUUCCGACAAAGUUCCUUGUGAACUUUUCAAAUUUUUCACAAAAGGCACAAGGCUUUUGAACUUUUCAAAUUUUAACGAAAA